CCUGAGGGGACUGCGGAUGACAUUAAUGAAAUUAUGACUGGGGUUGUAGCUGGCCUAUAAAACGGCAUGUGCACGCUCCUUUCACAAUCCACACACACCUGUGCACCUUCGCGGGGGUCUUUUUUUCUCUUCGGGGGAAUAAAGGCUCGCGUCCCUUUACACACCCUUUGUAUGUCUUAAGAAUGUCUACUCGAUGUAAUAAAACGCAUCUAAUACAACUUUCAACAACGGAUCUCUUGGCUCUCGCAUCGAUGAAGAACGCAGCGAAAUGCGAUAAGUAAUGUGAAUUGCAGAAUUCAGUGAAUCAUCGAAUCUUUGAACGCACCUUGCGCCCUUUGGUAUUCCGAAGGGCACACCUGUUUGAGUGUCGUGAAAUUCUCAACCCUCCUCGCUUUUUCGGCGAGCGUAGGGAUUGGACUUGGAGGCUUUGCCGGGCUCUCAUCGCUCGGCUCCUCUCAAAUGCAUUAGUGCGUCUUGUUGCGACGUGCGCCUCGGUGUGAUAAUUAUCUACGCUGUGGUGCGCUUGCUUCUUGUGGAGACACGCUUUCGAACCGUCCGAAAGGACAGCUUUCAUCGAACUUUGACCUCAAAUCAGGUGGGACUACCCGCUGAACUUAAGCAUAUCAAAAGGCGGGAGGAAA
rnacentral:rRNA from 1 species